AUUGAACGCUGGCGGCAUGCCUUACACAUGCGAGUCGAACGGUAACGGGCCUUCGGGUGCCGACGAGUGGCGAACGGGUGAGUAAUACAUCGGAACGUGCCCGAUCGUGGGGGAUAACGAGGCGAAAGCUUUGCUAAUACCGCAUACGAUCUACGGAUGAAAGCAGGGGACCGCAAGGCCUUGCGCGGACGGAGCGGCCGAUGGCAGAUUAGGUAGUUGGUGGGGUAAAAGCUUACCAAGCCGACGAUCUGUAGCUGGUCUGAGAGGAUGAUCAGCCACACUGGGACUGAGACACGGCCCAGACUCCUACGGGAGGCAGCAGUGGGGAAUUUUGGACAAUGGGCGCAAGCCUGAUCCAGCCAUGCCGCGUGCAGGAUGAAGGCCUUCGGGUUGUAAACUGCUUUUGUACGGAACGAAAAGCCUUCUUUUAAUACAGGAGGGUCAUGACGGUACCGUAAGAAUAAGCACCGGCUAACUACGUG
rnacentral:rRNA from 1 species